UCUCAUCCUUUCUGUUUGUUUCCUCUACAUUGUCAAAUGUUUUAAAUGAAACAGAUUCUUUUUGUUGUCAGACUCAAAACAGGUUAUUCAAAUGCAUUGCUGGCAUCCUUCCUUCCUUCCUGUCCCCACCCCAGGUGGGGACACAGCUGCAGGAAGUGGGGAAGGCGGGACAUCUAACCUGGGGAAGGGCAAGGACAGCCAAGGAUGGUGCUUGGCCUCCUCCAGUCUGCAGCUCGGGACGCUCCCACAGCUGACCCAGAUGCAAGCUGAGGGUGUUGAGAGAUCAAAGGAAGACAUGAGAGACCCGGGAGGGACAGCACAGAUACAAGGGUCAGGCCAACAGGCCACAGACUGAGUGGGGAAGCACAGGAAACACCCCAAGCUCCAGGUGUCACCCGGGUGCUUCUGGACAGAAAGAUGUCACUGUGGACUGUGUCAGCACAGGUUGGUCACAGGGGACACAACCAAUCCUCAGGAGCUGUUUCUGCUGUGGGAAAGUAGAUGAGCCGGUAGAAACCUCCCAACAAGGAACUCAGCAGGUUUGAGGACUGGGGCUGGAGGAGACCAUAGCCACCUGCUGCCCACCCAUCGCCCCAGCCCGGGACAUGCUGUCUCCAGGAGGCCCAAAGGGUGAGAUGGACCAUAAUGAAAGAAGAGCCACAGAAACGGGCUGGAGCACCCAACUGAACUGGGCCUGAAAGCCAAGCUGCAGUUGGCUAAACCCAGGAUCUGAAUAUGGAAUUCCAGAUUUCCAGAAGAGACAGACACCAGUCUCUACUGUACUAAAGAUCUGCCACCCAGAGGACAGGUUGGAGGUGAGCAUGCCGAAGUGAGGAGCAGGCUGGGAGAAGCCUGACCUACAGACCCAUAUUUUUCCUGCCUCCAAAACCCACCAGCAUGGCUUCAGCAGGGCAGCAGAGCCUCGGGCCCAGAGACAGUCUUUAGAUGCAAAGACCACACCCCUGUCCACAGGCUACAGAUGGGGAAGGGUCAUCUCUAAGGGGUCACCACUCCAUCCAUCGGACACAGACUUGAGUCUGUCCCGAAAGAUCUCUGCCUUGGGAAUCUUCAUUUCUGGGAAUACUAGAGCUACCUGUGGGCUGUGUCUGAGAACUUCCUAAUCCCUUUGGCCUGACAUCGUGUACGUACACAGUGCAAGCUCUUGCAUCAAGAGAUGUAUGAACACUGGUAUAGGAGGAAGGAAGUGGGCUGUAACGUGGCCUGUUGCUUCCUUCCCAUACUCAUACUACUCCCUCUUCACUUGGAUCUCAAACAGAAGCACCCUUAAACAUUGUUGGAAAUGGGCUACAGCUCAGCAGUAGAGCACCUGCCUACAUGAGGACAUGCAGACAGACCAGGGAAACUGCCUGGUUCCCAGGCUUGCGAAGAGUCUGUUGCUUUCUUUCAAUAGAUUCCCUCAUCCACUUGUCACACACUGCCUCCAGCAGGCAACUCGGUGACUGGCAGAGCAGCAGCCACCCUGGGUCCUGGGCAGAGUGGAAGCCACCCUGGGCCCCAGGAGAGAAGCCUGCUGAGAAGAGAGAACAGUCAUCACAAAGAGCCACACGAUGGGCUUUCAGGACAGAAAGCUCCCUGAAGUCAGCCAUGGUUUAAAUGAAUUGACUCCUGUAAAUCAUGAGCCUGAAUGUGCAACUGAUUUAUGAGGACUGGACUCAGACUUUGCUAACACCUCCUAAGAGAAGGGUGGGUGCUAUGACCUGAGCUCUAGGCCUACAUGUCAUCAGUCUCUGACACAUAUACCAACAGGCAUGCGUGCGCGCGUGCGCACACACACACACACACACACACACACACACACACACACACACACACACACCCCUCUGCUUCCAACCCACAAUUCAAACUGUAAGAUUAGAUCCAGGCAAGGAAACCAUGAGAAAACUGUACCUCGACACAGGAGUCCCACCACACCUGCCACAGCCUGCUUUGUUUCCAUUCCAGCUGCAGAAGGGAGAGAUCUUUGGGAAGGGCCAAGACCAACUGUCUUGGGGUGAGAACCCAGAUCUACCCUUGCAACCUAGAAGGGCCCCUGGCUCUUUCGAAGGCCCCAUGUGAGACACUGCCAAGGCCUCACUGGGGGACGACAACAGGUGGAUGAGAAGUUCUGACAUCAGGGAAUGAGUGCCUAACCGUGAGCAACACAGGACACAGGUUCAAACAGAGAAGGAGGAAGCUGAGAAAGGAAAAGCCCCUCCCCAGAGACAUGCCCAUCAGUGACUUCCACCCUACACAGCCAUGUCCUUUGGGUUGGGCCUUCAGGCUGGUGCUCCUGCAACUCACCUCUACCCUAUCAGUAACCGUGGAUGGAAGACAAGACAAGCAGGCUCUCUCCAUGCACACACAGACAAGCCAGACUCUCCCACCAUCUGUCCCCACAGGUGCUGUUCCUGGGCCACUCAGAAGGUGGGAGUUGCAGUCACAUCCACCUUGCCCAGCUCGGUGGGUCCUCCCCAGCCCGGUUUAAAACUGAGUGUGAGGAGUCUGGAAAAACGGCUCAAUUGGUUAGGAAUGCCGGCUGCCCUUCCAGAACGCAGGUUCAAAUCCCAAAAUUCAGAGUGUGGCUCCCAACCAUCUCUAACUCCAGUUCCAGGGGAUCUGACUCCCUCUUCUAGCCUCCAUGGGCUCCAGACACACAUGUGGCACCCAGAUAUACACACAGUCAAAAUACCCAGACACAUAAAAAACAAGAUGAUUUUUUGGAAAAACUAAGGCUACAGUUCUGGACUCAGCUCCACCAGGAAAGGAAGGCGCAGCUCUGCAUCUCAUUUAGAUGCUCAUCUACCGCCCCAUCUGGCCAGCAUGGCCCACCAGUCUUCCCUGGAACCUUCGGCAUCCUUGUAUAGCAAGUCUGGCUCCCUACCUGCCUGGAACCUGCAAGUCCACGCUUGCAGCCAUUAGCACCUCAGCCAAAACAAAAGCAAAAGGAUCGCUCUCAUCCCUUCUGCAGUUACAAGGUGCAGAGGUUAACCUUUCCAGUCUGGAAGCAAUUCAGUCACAGGGCCUAGCGCUCUCCAUAGAUGAGACAGUUGCUCUUGCAGCCUGUGGCAGAGCUCAUAAUGGAGAUCCCCUGGGUCCUGACUGACCUCUUGCAAUACAGGUCCUGGUGGGGCCCUGGGGAUGGAUGAACUGAUCCAAUUCAAAUCUGAGGACAUUCAGUCCCUGGAGAGGAGGCGGCAUAUGCUGAAAACUAUGUGUGCUCAUGGAGGUGGUGCCUGUGAGAAGCCCAGACCCACCGCCUGGUGCUGAGGAAGGAGAAAGGGUACCCAUGCACAGACCACCACAGUGUCUAGCUGGCUGGGGCAUCCAGGCUUUGCAUCUGAGCAGCAAAGCUCUUCAGGACAGGAAGGAAACAGAAAGCUUCAGAGUAAUUAAAGGGGGCCCACCUCCCUAGCCCUGCUCGGAAGCUGUGCGUCCUGACCUGCACAUGGGGAGGCAAGUAACAGUUAGUGAGCCUUAGCUGAGGGGGGCGCAGGGGGUGCAGAACCUGACAGGGGGCAGUAGCCCAAGGGCAGAAUACACAGGUGGUCACUGCUAGUGUGGUCUUCCCUGAGCUGCCAACAGACUGCUACUGUCACUCCAGGUCCCCAAAACAACACGGGCCACUGCUCUAAAUAAGCCAAAUAAACACACCACUCCAUACCUCUAAUCUUCAUGUGGCUUGACCACAGCACCGACAGCCCUACCCAUUCUCUCAGGGACAGUCACUUUGGGUCUCGGCUAAGAUGCCUCUGCCUUGCUAGAAGAGGCCAUCCGGCCUCCCAGGUGCCUCCGACCACCCAUCUCUCUCCACUUUCCUCACAGUACUCCCCACAGCCUGUGUGCAUGUACAUAUUCAUACGUUUACACACAUGUGUUUGACAUGAGUACACAUGCAUGUAUGCAUGGGGGGCAGAGGUCGACAUCAAGUAUCUUCCUUAAUCACUCUCUACCUUAUUUGCGGGGGCGGGGGAUCUCUCACUGAACCCGGAGCUAAUUUGUCUAGACUGGAUGUUCACAGGCCCUGGGCACUCUCUCGUCUCCCCUGUGCCAUCCAUCACAGGCAUGAAAGGCUCACACCAUGCCUGGCUUUUUCUUUCCACAUGGAUUCUGGAGCUUAAACUCGGAUCCCCACGCUUAUCUGGUGAGCACUUUACUGACUGAGCCAUGCCCCCAGACCCCGUGGUUUCUUCCUAGCGCUGGAGACGAAAGCUCACGCACACGAAGCAGUGUUCUACCACUGAACUCGCCCCAAGCUCUUCCUACGCGGGAACUACUGUGUGUCUGUGUGUCUCCUCAUAGAAAUCCAGCUGGCCUAGAACUUGUGGAGAUCUCCCUGCCGCGGCCUUCUGAACGCUGGGACCUGCUUUUCUUUAUUCUCUCUCAUUGGAGGGCAUCUGGGGGCGGGGGAACAGAUGGUAACAGUCCUGGCUAGAACACCAACUCUGGUUGGUAGAGUGCUUUCCUAGCAUGCACAAGGUCCUGGGUUCCAUUCCCAGCACCGUAUAAACUGGGCAUGGUGGCCAUGCCUAUAGUCCCAGCAGUUGGAGUGGAGGCAGGAGGAACAAGAAUUCAAGGUCGCACUCAGCUACAGAGUGACUCUGAGACCAGGCUGGAAUACACGAGAACCUUUCUUAAAAAGAAAAAACAUAAAACACCAGUCCUCAGCCACUGCUUCCGAUCUACAGCAAGCCCCUAUGGGUUCAGUGAUCGACCCCUGCCGAGCCACUGGCAGUUGAACAGCCCUCCAGAGGACACUGGGAUGCCAGAGAGCCCUGACCCACUUGGAGGGCCAAUGCGCCCAUCCAGGUGUGCGGAGACACCUAUUUUAAAACUUGCUGACCAGGUAGUCCACCGGGGAGGCUUCUGAGAGCGGCCUGUGAGCUGCGUCUUCUCGUUAUGUAGGAGAUGGCAUCUCUCAGAAGGAACAGACUCGGUGGCCCCCGCACAGUUCCGCUGAUCGGCUCAGUGGGAUUCGCGGUGCC